rnacentral:piRNA from 1 species
UCCCUUGCUGAAUACAGUGACCCUACACCCC